rnacentral:rRNA from 1 species
ACGCUCGACACCUACGUGAGGCAGCAGUGGGGGAAUAUUGCACAAUGGGGGAAACCCUGAUGCAGCGACGCCGCGUGAGCGAAGAAGUAUUUCGGUAUGUAAAGCUCUAUCAGCAGGGAAGAAACUGACGGUACCUGACUAAGAAGCACCGGCUAAAUACGUGCCAGCAGCCGCGGUAAUCUGAGCGGGCUGGCAAGGC